UGCUGCUUCAGUUUUCCCCUCAAAGUUAACACGCUCCAGUUUGUCCUCUCAAACUGAUAGGUUUUCAAUUUCUUCCCUUUUUUUGUAAAUAAAUACAUGUACAGCGACACAAUUAGUUAUAUAAAGACAUUACAGCGUGCAUAUGUUUAUAAAAUACUUGCAUGGACAUGGCUGUGUCUAUAUAAAGUGCGUUCCUCUCUAGUAAUUGAGAUAAUGUGUCUAUAAAUGUUUUUGUUUACUUUAAUAGUGUAACUUCAUAGCAGCUUCUCGGACAGCGUGUGUGGCAGACUACGUGUGGGGAUGCUGCAGAUUGCUGCGCCUCGCCAGUAAAAUCCACCACAAAACCUGGACCGGAGUUCAGUCUGCAGCUCAGGACCAGGACCAGGAGCAGGGCGACAGAUGGUCCUCUGCACAUGUUUUCUUCCCAUUGGUCCGGGGUCCCGGGCUGACUGUGCUCCAGCUCUGCAGGUACUACAUAAAAGGGCGCUCUGUGCCUGCACUAGGUUUCAGCUCAGGCCCUGACAUACUGAAGACAAGAAAUGGCAGAGGAGAGACUGCAGGGGGCAAACACUACACAAGGAGGAGCAGGUCUGCAUGAAUGCUGUAUAGCUCCAGGCACUGCUGGGUGCACAGACCCAAAACUUCCAGCAGUUGGAUUCCACAUCAUCUGAGAAAAUACUUUUUUAUAUAUCAGAGAGACAUAUAUAAUUUCUUUGUCCUGGAUUAGAAGCUCUUGUCCAAGAUUCCAUCUAUCAGUACCUCCAGGCCAGUUCCUUACAUGUUGACAAGACAAGUUGGUCCUUCUCUUGGAGUGACAGUCAAACAAGACCCAUAUGGUGCCAAAGACAAUCCACAGUGUGGGACUGUCUGUUGAAACUGGGUGUCCUUUUGCAGUCCAAAGUCUAGGCUAUCAAGACUCCACUAUCAUGUCAGGAACGUCCAUUUUGACAAUGCUGUGCUGAGAGUCAAAGAAAACCAUGGAGAGUGGCCGGCGCUCAGUGGGAACACAACAUGAAGUUGUAGCUGUGUUGAUGCCGUUGAUUUU